rnacentral:snoRNA from 7 species
GUGUUCAUGCUAUGAUGAAGGCUAUGUUGGUAGGGACAACUGAGCUUGUUGAUGAAUACCAACGAUUCUGAUGGCAGAGC